rnacentral:rRNA from 1 species
UACGUAGGUGACAAGCGUUGUCCGGAUUUACUGGGCGUAAAGAGCGCGCAGGCGGUCGUUCAAGUCGAGUGUGAAAGCCCCCGGCUCAACUGGGGAGGGUCACUCGAUACUGAUCGACUUGAAGGCAGGAGAGGGAAGCGGAAUUCCCGGUGUAGUGGUGAAAUGCGUAGAUAUCGGGAGGAACACCAGUGGCGAAGGCGGCUUCCUGGCCUGCUCUUGACGCUGAGGCGCGAAAGCUAGGGUAGCAAACGGG